rnacentral:lncRNA from 1 species
CUCCACUUGCAAAUACACAUGCCCUAGAUUAGGGUGCUUAACCUCCCUUAGCCUCAGUUUCUCUGUCUGCAGAAUGGGGAGAAUGCUUUCCCCAGAUGCUGGUCAAUGCCUGUCCCCAUAUCAACUUUAACCUGUCUGGCUCACUUUCUGCUUUUGGCAUUGAGUGAGGUUUUCCAAGCACAGUUGAGUCCCCUGGUCCCAGCCUGCCUUCAGCUGAUCUUGGCAUCGAGAUGAUGGUGUCCUCAGAGGCCAAGUUCUCCUGGGGUCCUCACUUUCUAGACUGCUCAGGCUGCUCCCCACCAGCAGCUUCAGGAGCCCCCAAGAUUUGUCAGAAUUGCACUUCUCAGGCCCCCCAGGACCCCUGAAUGUAACCCUAAAUUUCAGCUGGACCCGUUAUAGGGGCGUGUGCCCACGAGGGGGAAGGUCUGCUCAGAAACCCUGGUUUCUCCAUCUUGGCUCCAGCUCCCACACACUGUGUGUGAAUCAUGCCUCAGUGCCGCUGAUUCAAAAGGUGAGACAUGUACUUUUUGUCCCUCCCCGGCUCCUGGUGAGGAGUCUCUUCCCUAAAGCUCAAAUCACAUGCUGGCGACUCUCAGACGUCAGGAGAAGCAGCCAGUGAGGGCUUGUUCCCAAGUCCAAGCUUGUUCUGAUGUGAGACUGGCCGAUAAGAUGAGAGAAGAUGAGGUGUUGAGGCAAGGAAUAUGAGCCGGCUGACUGAAGAGAUGGCCAUCUAGUGUCUUCAUAAGAACCAUCUUAUCGGGUCUGGAUGACAGGUUCUUUUAUAGAACAGAGAGGGGGAGGAGGUUCUUCAGUGAAUGUUGGCCAACCUCUGGUUUAGAGGAAGCUGUAUCUUCCAAAAAUCGUACAAGCCAACACCUGGAUCCUUGUGCUGUUGUUCAGAAGAUCAAAACCGCACAGGAUGGAGUGAGCCUGUGGGUACCACACACUUUUGCAGGAGAGAGACUGUCAUUGCUGUGGGGAGGACGGGAGGAGCCGGCUGGUCACAGAGUGGGCUGUCCACUGCAUGAUAGGAACAGACUUUGGCAUCAGAAAGCAGGUCCAGCAACAAGUGAGAAGAGUGGGACCCUGUACGGAAUCUGCCGUGCCCUGUGGAAUAAGAAUGUGCCCGGCCCUGUGAAUUGCUGGCUGAAAAUGCCCACUGGAUGUGUUCAGCCUGUUUUCACUCAUCAGCCUUCAGAGCAUUCCCUGAGGUCUCGAGAAUACGCACAGCGUCCACAUCAGCGUCCUUUCCACCAGAUCGGUCCCUGCCAGGUCUGA